rnacentral:rRNA from 1 species
CCUACGGGAGGCAGCAGUGAGGAAUAUUGGUCAAUGGGCGUAAGCCUGAACCAGCCAAGUCGCGUGAGGGACGACGGCCCUACGGGUUGUAAACCUCUUUUGCCGGGGGGCAAACGGCGGCACGCGUGCCGUCCUGAGGGUACCCGGAGAAAAAGCAUCGGCUAACUCCGUGCCAGCAGCCGCGGUAAUACGGAGGAUGCGAGCGUUAUCCGGAUUUAUUGGGUUUAAAGGGUGCGUAGGCGGGAUGCCAAGUCAGCGGUCAAAUACGGGGGCUCAACCUGUGGCCUGCAUUUGAAACUGUAGUUCUUGAGUACUGGAGAGGCAGACGGAAUUCCUAGUGUAGCGGUGAAAUGCGUAGAUAUUAGGAGGAACACCAGUGGCGAAGGCGGUCUGCUGGACAGCAACUGACGCUGAGGCGCGAAAGCGUGGGGAGCAAACAGGAUUAGAUACCCCAGUAGUC